AUGAUCGACAUGCUCAAGGCGGCGCUUGCAGGGCGGCACUCACGGCCGAGCAGCGAACCCAGCUACCGACCAGAGGGCACCAAGGCCUCAUCAUUCACAUAUGACCAGGACGGCAAAGAGCGUGCUGUGGCCGAGAUCAAUUUUCUCAGCCUCACAGACUAUGUGGGCCCCAAGCAGAAGACCGGCUGGGGAGUGGCUGCUCUGUGGAGCGGCAACAAGUCCAUGUAUACCUUGAUGAAUGUCCUGCAAAUGCUGAAUAGCAACCAGAGCUUUGUGCCAUACAGGCAGAGCAAAGUUACUCGUAUUCUCUGCAAGACUCUUUGUUCAAGACGAGCGGGGCUGUGGUGA
rnacentral:rRNA from 1 species